GGGCCCAUAGCUCAGUUGGUUAGAGCAGAGGACUCAUAAUCCUUUGGUCCACGGUUCGAGUCCGUGUGGGCCCACCA
rnacentral:tRNA from 167 species